UACAUGGGGUGCAAACGUUGCUCGGAAUUAUUGGGCGUAAAGCGCACGUAGGCGGUCUGUUAAGUCGGAUGUGAAAGCCCUCGGCUCAACUGAGGAAGUGCACCCGAAACUGGCAGGCUUGAGUACUAAAGAGGGUCGCGGAAUUCCCGGUGUAGAGGUGAAAUUCGUAGAUAUUGGGAAGAACACCGAUGGCGAAGGCAGCCAUCUGGACCGACACUGACGCUGAGGCGCGAAAGCGUGGGGAGCAAACAGG
rnacentral:rRNA from 1 species